rnacentral:tRNA from 1 species
AGGUUUCGUGGUGUAGUUGGUUAUCAUGUCAGUCUAACACACUGAAGGUCUCCGUUCGAGUCCGGGCAAAGCCAU